GCCUUUUGAAGAAUGAGCCUGCGAGUUAGUGGUAUGUCGCGAGGUUAACCCGUGUGGGGAAGCCGGAGCGAAAGCGAGUCCGAAUAGGGCGUUUAGUGGCAUGCUCUAGACCCGAAGCGGGGUGAUCUACCCAUGGCCAGUGUGAAGCAGCUGUAAGAGGUUGUGGAGGCGCGAACCCACUUAGGUUAAAAACUGAGGGGAUGAGCUGUGGGUAGGGGUGAAAGGCCAAUCAAACUCCGUGAUAGCUGGUUCUCCCCGAAAUGCAUUUAGGUGCAGCGUUGCGUGGUUCUUGUUGGAGGUAGAGCACUGGAUGGUCUAGGGGGCUUAUCGGCUUACCGAAAUCAGCCAAACUCCGAAUGCUGGCAAGUGUAGCGUGGCAGUGAGACGGCGGGGGAUAAGCUUCGUCGUCGAGAGGGAAACAGCCCAGAUCAUCAGCUAAGGCCCCUAAGUGGUGACUCAGUGGGAAAGGAUGUGGAGUUGCGUAGACAACCAGGAGGUUGGCUUGGAAGCAGCCAUCCUUGAAAGAGUGCGUAAUAGCUCACUGGUCAAGUGAUUCCGCGCCGAUAAUGUAGCGGGGCUUAAGUUAUCCGCCGAAGCUGUGGCAACCUGUGUGGUUGGGUAGGGGAGCGUCGUGUCAGUGGUGAAGCUGCCGGGUGACUGUGUGGUGGAGUUGAUGCGAGUGAGAAUGCAGGCAUGAGUAGCGUGUGACGGGUGGGAAUCCCGUCCGCCGAUUAUCCAAGGGUUCCAGGGUCAAGUUUGUCUGCCCUGGGUGAGUCGGGUCCUAAGGCGAGGCCGACAGGCGUAGUCGAUGGGUAACCAGUUGAUAUUCUGGUACCGGCUUGUCACCGUCCGUGUCGAGGUGUGUGAUGCUAAGCAUGUGAGCUUGUCUUGGGAGUGUUUUUGAUGCUUCUGGGGUGGGUGAGUGUGUGAACCGAUCAUGUAGUAGGCAAGCUGCGGAGGGACGCAGUGAGGUAGCUCAUCCCCGGUGAUGGUUGUCCGGGGCUAAGUGUGUGGACUGUCUGGUAGGUAAAUCCGCUGGGCGUGAAGGUUGAGGCAUGAUGGGGAGCCCACGGUUGUGGGUGAGUGAGUGAUCCUGUACUGUCGAGAAAAGCUUCGUGAGCGAGGUGGCGGGUCCGCCCGUACCCUAAACCGACACUGGUGGAUAGGUAGAGUAUACCGAGGCGAUCGAGUGAAUCGUGGUGAAGGAACUCGGCAAAAUGCCCCCGUAACUUUGGGAUAAGGGGGACCUGAGCUGUCGUGCACCCGUGCGGUGUGGUGGCGGUGAGGGGCGCAGAGUCCAGGGGGAAACGACUGUUUACCAAAAACACAGGUCCGUGCGAAGUCGUAAGACGAUGUAUACGGACUGACUCCUGCCCGGUGCUGGAAGGUUAAGGGGAACUGUGAGUGUAUGCGUAGCGGUGAACUUAAGCCCCAGUAAACGGCGGUGGUAACUAUAACCAUCCUAAGGUAGCGAAAUUCCUUGUCGGGUAAGUUCCGACCUGCACGAAUGGCGUAACGAUGGCGGCGCUGUCUCCACCCGAGACUCAGUGAAAUUGAAAUCGCUGUGAAGAUGCAGUGUAUCCGCGGCUAGACGGAAAGACCCCGUGAACCUUUACUAUAGCUUUGCACUGGACUUUGAAUUUGCUUGUGUAGGAUAGGUGGGAGGCUUUGAAGUGGGGACGCCAGUUCUCAUGGAGCCAUCCUUGAAAUACCACCCUGGCAACUUUGAGGUUCUAACUCAGGUCCGUUAUCCGGAUCGAGGACAGUGUAUGGUGGGUAGUUUGACUGGGGCGGUCUCCUCCCAAAGAGUAACGGAGGAGUACGAAGGUGCGCUCAGACCGGUCGGAAAUCGGUCGUAGAGUAUAAAGGCAAAAGCGCGCUUGACUGCGAGACAAACACGUCGAGCAGGUACGAAAGUAGGUCUUAGUGAUCCGGUGGUUCUGUAUGGAAGGGCCAUCGCUCAACGGAUAAAAGGUACUCCGGGGAUAACAGGCUGAUACCGCCCAAGAGUUCAUAUCGACGGCGGUGUUUGGCACCUCGAUGUCGGCUCAUCACAUCCUGGGGCUGAAGCCGGUCCCAAGGGUAUGGCUGUUCGCCAUUUAAAGUGGUACGCGAGCUGGGUUUAGAACGUCGUGAGACAGUUCGGUCCCUAUCUGCCGUGGACGUUUGAGAUUUGAGAGGGGCUGCUCCUAGUACGAGAGGACCGGAGUGGACGAACCUCUGGUGUUCCGGUUGUCACGCCAGUGGCAUUGCCGGGUAGCUAUGUUCGGAAGAGAUAACCGCUGAAAGCAUCUAAGCGGGAAACUUGCCUCAAGAUGAGAUCUCACUGGGAUCUUGAAUCCCCUAAAGGGCCGUCGAAGACUACGACGUUGAUAGGUUGGGUGUGUAAGCGCUGUGAGGCGUUGAGCUAACCAAUACUA
rnacentral:rRNA from 1 species